AUGGUGAGGCAGAAGCUAUUGACCUAUAAUUUGUAUCUUUAGCUGAUCUCUUGUAUUUCACUUAGAUCAAGAUUUAUAGUAUUAGUAUUUCCCUUCUAAGGAAACUGAAUCUGGACCUCAUUUAACAAUUGAGAUUCCAAAAAUAAUAAUAAUGGUUGCAACUGUAAUCUUUGGCAUAAUUCAUACUAUAGUUGAUUAUUUAUGUUCAAUUCUGGAUUGAGUAGCAUCUUUAAUUUUAUUUGUAACAUAACUUAUUCAAGUGAGUGAUGGUGGCUUUCUUUUGUUUAUUGGCUUCUGAUAUAUCAGGCUGCCACAACUGAAGGCCAAGAGGCAACAGUGGUGACAGAUUAUACAUUAAAGGUAACAUUGCCGGUUUUGGCAUAGGCUUAUGACUAUUAAGAAACAGUAAACAUAAUAUACUUUAGUUUCUUUAAUUUGCUUCAAAUAUACAGGUUUUAGGUUUAGAUAUGAGUGCUGAUACCAUGGUUGGAGAUGAAAUGAUAAGGGGUAUUUCUGGUGGACAAAGGAAGUGUGUUACAACAGGUACAUCGAAUCACUAGCGAAUAGAAUUCAGUUUAGUUGAUAUGAAAUUGGAUGUAUGCUAAUCUAUAUUGAAUCAAAUUAUAGGGGAGAUGUUGGUUGGACCAGAAAACGCAUUGUUUAUGGAUGAAAUAUCAACUGGAUUGGACAGUGCGACAACUUUCCAAAUUGUGAAUUCACUCAAGCAACAUGUUCACAUUCUUGAUGGAACAGCAGUCAUCUCUCUACUGCAGCCAGCACCAGAGACAUAUAAUCUUUUUUAUGACAUUAUUCUCCUCUCUGAUGGCUACAUUGUGUACCAGGGUCCCCAUGAGUUAGUUCUUGACUUUUUUCAAUCCAUGGGUUUUAAGUGUCCAGACCGAAAAGGCGUGGCUGACUUCUUGCAAGAGGUUAGUGUUAAUAUCCUUAAAAGACUUAAGGAUGAGCCUUACAUGUGGAGUUCUCAUCUGUAUUAUCUGUGAUUAUUUUAGAAGCAGUACUGGGCACGCAAAGAUGAGCCUUACAGUUUUAUCACAGUUCAGGAAUUUUUGGAGACAUUCCAACAUUCCAUGUUGGCAAGAGUAUAGGAGAUGA
rnacentral:sRNA from 1 species